ACCUCCUGGAGGCUGACGCGGAUCUGCCCCGACCCGUCCCGGUCCAGGGACUUGAAGGCACCUGGGGGGGACCCCAAAAUCAACCAGGGGGGACCCCAAAACCCCCCCAAACCCAUCCCCCACCUCGGGGAACCCCAAAUAAAAACCCGGAUUUGGGGGGGGGUCUCAAAUUUUGGGGUUUUUUUCCAAAUUUUGGGGUUUUUUUCCCAGAUUUUGGGGUUUUCUCCCCAGAUUUUGGGGUUUUUUUCCAGAUUUUGGGGUUUUUUUCCCCAGAUUUUGGGGUUUUUUUCCAGAUUUUGGGGUUUUUCUCCCCAGAUUUUGGGGUUUUUUUCCCAGAUUUUGGGGUUUUUUCCCAAAUUUUGGGGUUUUUCUCCCCAGAUUUUGGGGUUUUUCAUCCCAGAUUUUGGGGUUUUUUCCCAAAUUUUGGGGAUUUUUCCCCAGAUUUUGGGUUUUUUUCCCAGAUUUUGGGGUUUUUCUCCCCAGAUUCUGGGGUUUUUUCCCAGAUUUUGGGGAUUUUUUCUCAGAUUUUGGGUUUUUUCCCCAGAUUUUGGGGUUUUUUUCCCAGAUUUUGGGGUUUUUUCCCAGAUUUUGGGGUUUUUCUCCCCAGAUUUUGGGGUUUUUUUCCCAGAUUUUGGGGGUUUUUCCCAAAUUUUGGGGAUUUUUUCUCAGAUUUUGGGGUUUUUUUCCCAGAUUUUGGGGUUUUUCCCCCCAGAUUUUGGGGUUUUUUCCCAGAUUUUGGGGGUUUUUCCCCCCAGAUUUUGGGGUUUUUUUCCAGAUUUUGGGUUUUUUUCCCAGAUUUCGGGAUUUUUCUCCCCAGAUUUGGGGUUUUUUUCUCAGAUUUUGUUUUUUUCCCCCCCGAUUUUGUUAUUUUCCCCCCGAAUUUGUUAUUUUUCCCCCCAAAUUAAUUUUUUCCCCCCGAUUUUGUUAUUUUGCCCCCCAAUUUUGGUUUUUUCCCCCCGAUUUUGUUAUUUUUCCCCCCGAUUUUGUUAUUUUUCCCCCCGAAUUUAUUUUUUUCCCCCGAUUUUGUUUUUUUCCCCCCGAUUUUGGGUUUUUCCCCCCAAAUUAAUUUUUCCCCCCCCGAUUUUGUUAUUUUUCCCCCCUGAUUUU
rnacentral:lncRNA from 1 species